rnacentral:tRNA from 3 species
GGGGAUAUGGCGAAAUCGGUAGACGCUACGGACUUAAAAAAUCCUCGAU